AGUGGAAGCGUCUGGAAAGGCGCGCGAUACAGGGUGACAGCCCCGUACACAAAAGCGCAUGUGCUGUGAGCUCGAUGAGUAGGGCGGGACACGUGGUAUCCUGUCUGAAUAUGGGGGGACCAUCCUCCAAGGCUAAAUACUCCUGACUGACCGAUAGUGAACCAGUACCGUGAGGGAAAGGCGAAAAGAACCCCGGCGAGGGGAGUGAAAAAGAACCUGAAACCGUGUACGUACAAGCAGUGGGAGCACCCUUUGGGGUGUGACUGCGUACCUUUUGUAUAAUGGGUCAGCGACUUAUAUUCUGUAGCAAGGUUAACCGAAUAGGGGAGCCGGAGGGAAACCGAGUCUUAAYYGGGCGUUAAGUUGCAGGGUAUAGACCCGAAACCCGGUGAUCUAGCCAUGGGCAGGUUGAAGGUUGGGUAACACUAACUGGAGGACCGAACCGACUAAUGUUGAAAAAUUAGCGGAUGACCUGUGGCUGGGGGUGAAAGGCCAAUCAAACCGGGAGAUAGCUGGUUCUCCCCGAAAGCUAUUUAGGUAGCGCCUCGUGAAUUCAUCUCCGGGGGUAGAGCACUGUUUCGGCUAGGGGGCCAUCCCGGCUUACCAACCCGAUGCAAACUACGAAUACCGGAGAAUGUUAUCACGGGAGACACACGGCGGGUGCUAACGUCCGUCGUGAAGAGGGAAACAACCCAGACCGCCAGCUAAGGUCCCAAAGUCAUGGUUAAGUGGGAAACGAUGUGGGAAGGCCCAGACAGCCAGGAUGUUGGCUUAGAAGCAGCCAUCAUUUAAAGAAAGCGUAAUAGCUCACUGGUCGAGUCGGCCUGCGCGGAAGAUGUAACGGGGCU
rnacentral:rRNA from 1 species